CACACUGCCGAGAAAAGCCUCUAGAUAGAAAAUAGGUGCCCGUACCGCAAACCGACACAGGUAGUCAAGAUGAGAAUUCUAAGGUGAGCGAGCGAACUCUCGUUAAGGAACUCGGCAAAAUGACCCCGUAACUUCGGGAGAAGGGGUGCUCUUUAGGGUUAACGCCCAGAAGAGCCGCAGUGAAUAGGCCCAAGCGACUGUUUAUCAAAAACACAGGUCUCUGCUAAACCGUAAGGUGAUGUAUAGGGGCUGACGCCUGCCCGGUGCUGGAAGGUUAAGAGGAGUGGUUAGCUUCUGCGAAGCUACGAAUCGAAGCCCCAGUAAACGGCGGCCGUAACUAUAACGGUCCUAAGGUAGCGAAAUUCCUUGUCGGGUAAGUUCCGACCCGCACGAAAGGCGUAACGAUUUGGGCACUGUCUCAACGAGAGACUCGGUGAAAUCAUAGUACCUGUGAAGAUGCAGGUUACCCGCGACAGGACGGAAAGACCCCGUGGAGCUUUACUGUAGCCUGAUAUUGAAAUUCGGCACAG
rnacentral:rRNA from 1 species